AGAUCUUAUUUGCCCUCAAAUCUUGUUUGUACAACUAUUACGAUACAGAGAAGAUUAGCAUGGCCCCUGCACAAGGAGGACACGCAAAUUUGUGAAGCGUUCCAUAUUUUU